rnacentral:lncRNA from 1 species
UUUCUACAUGACAAUUAAGUAACAAGGUGGAUCGAUCAGAAGGUGAUUGAAUUAAAAAAAAAACUAGAAAACAAAAAGACCAAAUAUAUUAAAAACAUUUGAAAAUAAGGAAAUUGGGGAAGAAAUAAUCAUACCAACACCAUCCUCACAAUCGCCGACCGGAUUAUAUCAGAGGUUAAAGAUUUUGGUUUCAAAAAAGCUAACAAGGGUUGGUAUAUAUACUAAAAAGGGGAGAAGUUAAAAGAGAGAUCGAAGACGUGUUGAACCCAUGGCAAGUGUAGCUUUGAACUCUAAAAAAUUGAAAGUGAAGUGAAUAUUGUUGUUUAGUUGUUACUUGUUGAAUCUUUGUAUGAACUAAACAUUGAUAUUGACAUUGAUAAUGCUUUCUUUUCAAACAAAGGAUUGAGAAAGAUUUAUAAUAUUUGAUAAUACGACAUUGAUAAUACUCAUAGUUCACUUUGUGUAAAAAGAAAGAGUCAAUGUUCAUAUUAUUAGGAUUGAGAGGAUUCUUGUGGGUCACUCUGGACCUUGGGCCCCAUGCAGUGACUUAGGACUUAGGUCUUCUUUUGACUUUGACUUAUGACUUCAUAUAUGUAUGCACUUUGUUAUAGUGAAUCAUUAACAUAUUAAACAAUAGCCUGCUUCACCUGCAAACGUCCGCAGUGACAAGCGGACUGCAAACGCGUAUCGAAUUGACAAAAUUGUCAAUCUGACGGUAUAAGUUCAGUACCGCAUCAGAGAAGAAGGAAGAACUGCGUCUCCAGGUGCGUGGCUCGUAUCCACAUGAAAACAGUACGCGGUAUGGGUGUUCGUCGCCUCCGACAUCGCGAGUUCCGCAUACUGCGUACUGUUCCUGUGAUUCCGCGGACCGCGAUGUCCGGAACUCGCGAUUCGGAGACUUGCGAUGUCGGAAUAGCGGAACCGCGACAGACCAUUCCGUCCAACGACGCUCCCUCGUGAUGGGUUCCUGCAGUUCCUGGACCGAUCGUGGGCUCCCGUACGGUCGUCUCCAUGUUGUACUCAGCGGAAGGACAAUUCAGGUCGCACCGCCAUCCUUCCCAACAGUACCAAGGCAUGGUGACAGGAUUGAUAUUGUACGAUUUCCUGCGUAAUGCGACGAACGGCUGAUAAUCGUCGACUGGGACCGACGAUGGAUUCGGCAAUCCGCAGCGAAGGGGAACCACAUGAAAAUUGCACUCUAUUAAACAAAUAGAUAUACAUACAUCACAAAUUCUAAUCACUUUUAUUAAUGACUAAAAUGACAAAUAAAUACUUGAUAUGUGAUGAUGUAUGAUCGGAAAUGAGCCUACACAAUCGGAUUAGAGUUUUGUCUCUCUCCCUCUCUUUAGUGUAGUCUCGGUAUCCAAUGUAACGUGUCUUGUCCCCUCUUAGGAGGUUGGUAUUUAUGAACCUUCUGCUACUCUUAGGGCAGGAUUGGGCCGACGGAUCUGGGGAUGUUCUUUUUAGGCCACUCCAGUGGACCGAGGGUAUUAUCAAUAUAAAUAUAUGAUUUGAUAUGAUAUGAUAUGAUUAAAAUUAAUGUAUAUUAGAAAAUGUAGGGUAUGCAUAUUGUUCAUGAUAUUUAAUCAAUAAAUAUUAUAAUGAUCAUUGGUAUUAUAUUAAUUUUCAUGGAGAAUUGGUCAAUAAAGACAUCUAAAUAAGUUAAGCUAACCCUAGCUUAUGGUUUGUAUUGAAUAAAAUCUAAUGUUUAAGAGAAAUUGUAAUUAACAUACUGAUUAAUUAAGAUUAACGACUUGACUUAACUGAGUAUUAUCAGCCGUCAUUACUGACAAACAAUAACUAAUCAACAAGGAUAAAAGCUUCACUAUCUUCUCAAUAAGCAUAGAGGAUGGAUAUAAUUUAAGAGAAAUACUUGGAUUUGCGGUUUAAGCGCUACCCUUAAUGCUUUUAGCGGCGCCGAUCGGGGGUGCCGACUGUGGAUAUUUGAUCGACUUUCGAAAAGAUACGUUGAAAUAUUAUUUUUUCAGGGAAUUGAGAUUGAGAUGAGAUAUUAAAUAUGAAAUAGUUUGAAAUAAUUAAAUCAUAUUCAUCCAAUGGAAGAUCUAGAGAUCUGUAUACGUAAUAAUGUAAAUCAAUUAAAAAACAAAUAUAUAAUAAAAUCGUGAUGAAUUCUUAAUCAAUAUCUCACAAACUAUUUUACAAUGAAUUAUUGAUAUUAAAAGAUCUCCUUAAGAAUUUAAGAUAUGUCUUACAUGAUUAUAAUUACGAAAUAACACAAGCAUUUGGAUUUUACUCCAUGCUUUUGAGCAUAGCAAAUUUGGGUUGGAUUUGGAUAAAUAAACUGAUAAUGUUUGAAAAUAUCUUCAUAAUAUUCCAUCUUCUCUUCAGGCGUCUUCUCUUUUUUCGCUUCCUUUUUCACUCUUCUCCUCCUCCUUCGGCCCAACGGAUUCCAAGCUUGCAUGCAGCCAAUUCCUACAAGGCCAUUUGUUAUAACUAUUCAAUUUGUUGACAACAUCAAUGGGAUCCAUUUCUCCGAUCAAGGUAAUUUUCCCAGUCUCCUUGUCUACACUGAUGAAUUGGAUUCCGUCAAGUUCAGAUACAACUUUCAUAGCCUUCUGCUUCAUUUUCUCAUCAUAGAUAUUGGCUUUUACAAUCACUUCCUGCAAGAUUAGAUAAUCAAUUAACAAGUUGGAUUGGAAGAUAAUUAAAUUAAAUCUUGAUGUGACCCUACUCUAAGCAGGUCCAUCAUGCCUACAAUCCAAAGACUAAUUGUCUUAGAUCCCAUUUUUGGAAAGAAAUCUCUGACAAUAGAGUACAUGAAUAGAGAAGGAAUAGAGUAUGCUUCCUAUCCUCAAAAUCAUCGAGUCUCAACUGUUGGAGUUUCCACCUCAACAGAUCUAAAAAAAGUAAGACAUUUGAAGGUAGAAAUGUAGAAGAAUUGUUCAAACCUUCACCAUUUUUGAUCGGCCGAGAGUAUAUCUGAGGUUGAAGUUUCUAAGAUCAUCGAAGAAGCUAGUAAGGAGUGGUAUAUAUAUUAGUGAAAAGGUGAAAGACGUGUUGAAUCAAUCAGUUGUAAUUAGGAAAGAAAACUGGCGUGUGUUGAAUUUUAAGUGAAUAAUGUUGUCGAAUUUGUUGUUUACUUUGUUAUUAUCAGGCAUUGUAGAAUCGAAUAGUUUAAUAUAAUACAACAAGAAUACGAUUGACAUGAUUAUUUUUUACACGAAUAUGAUCUAUGUCAACACGAUACGACUGAAACGACACGAAAUCGAAUAAUAAAAAAGAUUGUAUGACUUAGAAAUAGAAUGUGAUCUAUUAAACUAUUAAAGAUUUAGAAAGUUUAUCCAUUCAAACUAGUGAAUUCAGCCUAUCGGGCCUGAUAUAGUAGAUCGAAUGACUUAUAUUUGAUUAUUAAAUUCGAAUGUUUGUACGGAGAUCUGUGCAUCUCAAGCUUAUUGGAUAAAUUUGUAAGAAGCCAAGUCAUAUACGCUCAAAAAUCUUCCGAUAAUCUGAGCCUUCCAUUUUUUAAUUUUUUUUUUCAAAGAUAGAGAUGAUGGAUUCGUAACCGUCUAUUAAUGUAAUGUUUCAAUUUUGGUAAAUUUAUGACAUUACCAUCCUUUCAUAAAAAUAUUAUUAUUCACUCUUUUUUUUUCCCACCAACACUAUUCUCCGUCUCUCUCCAUUUCUCACCGUUCUCUCCCAUUUCCGCUAGUGACACUCUACGGUCGACCAACGAUGCCGUCGAAGCUUCUCCAUUUCGGCGCAGAUCUCCGACGAGAACACAAGACGAUGCCGACACCGCUCGUCUCUCCAUUUCACCGCUCCUCUGUGAUGGUUACCGCUCUUCUACAAAUACCCAAUGUAAGUCUUCCACUAUUCUUCCCUUUCCGUUUAUGACCUUAACCAUGUGGUGACGGUGGUUGUGCCGCUCUACGUGGCGAUGGUUCUGUUUUUGGCUCUGAGAAAUGGUGGAAGAUCCCCAACACCCUCGUCUCGUCAUGGAUAUUCCGCUCGUUAAAGGAAUGUGUUGAUACUAUGGACGGUCCAGCAGUCCAUGGACCAAGUCAGUCGCCCCAUGGGCCCAAGCACGAAUGGGCCGGGCGAGCUAAGGCCCGCAAGGUCCAAGAGUCGUGAGAGCACAAAUACACUUAUUAUCAAGUUCACACUAAUAACACAUUGAUAUAAUUACGGUAAUUACAUUGUACUAAGAUUACUUUUUGGCAAAUACUUUCCCAAAUCUUCCCAUCAAUGAUUGAGAAAUCCCAAAUCUUCUUCGAUCGCAGGUACAGAUUUUGAUUUUGCUUCUGUUUUUAAGUCGAUUCUUUUUUCUUUCGAUUGAGCGCAACUCUGAUACGUCGUCGAUUUCUUGAUUUUGAUUUCGUCGAUUGUUCGGAUUUCUUGCUACAACGAUUUCAUUUAGAGUCGUCUAUUGCGAUUUUGCGGAUUUGAUUUCUUCCAUUAGUUUGUCAUUUCGAUAAUCGUCAUUUCAAUUUUCGAUUUCCGAUCUCACUCGUCGGCUGACACUAGUUAUUUUUCUGCAACUAGUUAUUUUUUUUCCGAUUUGAUUCAUCGCGGUGAUUCUGUCUGAUUAAUUGCGGAUUUCUUUUGCCGAUUGGAUUUGUUCAUCGCGGCGUCGUCGAUUAGAUUCGCGAGUUCCGUCUCGUGAGUUACGGUCGCGAUUGGAUUCACGGUCGUCUUGACGAGUUCCAUCAUCACGGUCGUCGAUUGGAUUCUUGGCGAGUUUCGUCUUGGAUUCGUUUUCGAUUUGGCGGCAUCCCGGAUUGCGAUUUAGGCAUCGUUUUUUUUCCGUCAUUUUUGAUUUCUUUAUCGUUUUUUCUUCAUCGUGGGAUAGCAGGUACGGACUAGGUAUUCAUCAUUGAGCAGAUGGGUGCCAGUUUCGAGCUUGUGGAUGGCUGGAAUGAAGAUAGGCAAUCCAAACUUGCUGGUGGAAACUCUGACAGGGCUUGUGUCCCUACUGGGAGGGAUGAAUCUGGCUCAGAAAUUAUCCAGGUAAGAUCUAAAUUGAAUUCCGCUUCUAACGGUACUGGUAAUGCAGGAUUUGGUGGAGUAUUGGCCGAUAGGCGGAUUCUUGACCUCGUCGGAGAAGGAGUUGGACAGGGUGCGGAGCAAGUUCUCACUUGGAAUUACCUUGGGGGAAAUGAUCGGAUAGUUGAGGAGAGUCUAAAUCCUGAGUUUGGGGAAGUUCCGGAGCUUCUGGCCAAAAGUCCGGUGAGAAAUCAUCUUUUCCGACGAACAUCAAACUGGAGAAGAUGACCCGAAAAAAAUCAAAAUUUGAAGGAGGAUGAAAUAUAUUUAACUUAGACGGGUGUUCGAGAAAAUCGGGACGGGUUAACAGGUGAUAGCGAUGGCUAAAACAAUUUAAAUUAUCUAAGUGAGGAAAAAUUUGCCCCCUAACACACCCUAACCACCUAAGAACUAGACUUGGUGGUUACUUUUGACCACCAAGCCAUCUUAGGUGGGUACUUUUGAAACCUACCAUAAAGUUAGGUGUUAAAACUUUAGUCACAAAUGAAUGAGGGUAUUAAAAGUAAGUCGGUCAAUUCGUGUGACACGACACAACACGGCUGACGUGACUAAUUUUUUCGUGUCAAAAAAGUUUAACACGAUUCAACCGAUUCCAUGUUGACAUGAUAUGACGACAUGAAAAGAUUUUAAUAAAAAAAUUUCUAAAUAAUAAUAUUAAAAUUAUUUAAAGUUAAUUUAAAACAUAUAGAGUUUUUUUUAUAGUUAAAUACAAAAUUUAAUUAAAAUAUUAAAUCAAUUUAAAAUACAUCCACCCAACCAUAGAUAGCUAAUACCUUACACUCCCAUUAUUUGACAUGAAUGAUCAUUCAUUCAAACACCGGUUUGAAAUCUAGAGUAGGUAGAUAGAUAGGUAGAAGAAGGUGUAGAGCUAAGUUUCACUCCUCCUUUCAAUAUAAACUUACAGUGUAGUCCACGGCGAGGGCAAGGCGAGAGCACAACGAGAAUAGAAAAUAUGUGUUAAGAAUUAGGGAUUGAAAAAUGAGAUAUUUACUCAUCGUUAAUAUGUUAAUCAUUAUAAUUACUAUAUUAGUAUAUGUUAAUAAUCGACAAGAAUAUGUUAAUAUUACUACUAUACGUUUUGCGUCAUAUUUUUAGAGGCAAACCAGCGGCGAAUCUAGAAAUUUUUCUCAGGGGAGCUAAUUUUAAAUCAUUUAACCAAAUUUAAUUUUUUUUUCAAUCCAAUUGUUCUCGACGAGGUGCCAUAUUUUGGUACCGAUACAUAAUAUUAUCAUUAUUAACACUAAAAAAUAAAUCAUUUUCAACAUAUUGCGACAAUAUUAUCAUUAUUAAAAUAUCAUUCAACUAAGUAUCAUCUAUACAAUUGCGACAACUUGAUUUCACAAGAUUCAUUGCUGAAAAAGAUCUUUCCACUGAAGCAGUCGUAACUGGUAAUGUGAGUGUUAAUUUUAAUAAACAAAACACCAAAGAAAAUACGAUAGCUUUUCUCUUUUCAAUCAACUUUAUGAUCAACCUCUCAUGUUGGCAAAAUUUUUUUUGCAAAUAAUAUCUUCUUAUUUGAUUUCGGUCAUUUGGAUGGUAGUUAUUUAUCUUCUUUCGCAAUCUCGGAUCGGAAGAUAAUUUACUUGCAUCGAGUGACUCUCUAGAUGGUUGUGGAUUGGAUGAUAAAGUUGAAAUUGGUUGAUUUAUUCUAAGUCUUUUGAUCACAAAUUUAUUCAUUGAUUAUCUAUGAAAAAAUGAUCUAAAUUAAUAACAAAUUUAACAUUAAGGAAUGUGAAUAAAAAAUACCUUUUUUUCUUUGUAUGGAGUUAUGGUCACGAAAUCACGUGAAAUGGAGAAAAAUAGGUCAAAAAUUAAAUGAAUGGUGUGAAGAUAGAGAAAGAAAGAAUGAAAUUUCUAAAUACCUAAAUAUAGAUAGACAAUUAGGAUAAAUAUAGUAGUAAAUUAAUUAUUAACAAGAUAAUGAUUUAGAAACAAAAUAUUUUAAAAAUAUUUUAUAUUAUUAUUGUAUUAUAUUAUAUUAUAUUAUAAAAAUAAAAUAUAUUAAUAUAUUUUAAAUGGUGGAUAGGUUGAGUAUUAUAUCUAUAUAAAUUUUUUUAUUUUUUUGGGAAGGGGUCAGAAGUCUCCCCAAGUCCCCCUACAUUCGCUGUUGAGACAAACACUAAACCGACACUAUUAUUAACUAUUAUUAAUAUUGUCAAAACUUUCGACACUAUUAUAAACGUGUUGUAUUCGUGUCGUGUUAAAAUCGUGUCGUGUUUUUUUACGAAUCGUUUCUGUUAUUGUCACCCUUAGUGUUUAGUGAUUGAAACAAUGUCUUUGAUAAAAGAGUAAUAACACGAUUUACCGGUAGGUAUCUUUUCUUCAAUGAGGUCAUCAAUGGAUGAUUGUGAUCUUCAAUGAAAUUAACAACCCUUCACAAAUUUGGUGGGAGGAUAACCCCAAUUAGAAGAAACCAAGAAGAAGAAGAAGAAAGGCAAAAGGAAAACGACACCAAAAGUAAGAAACCAAAAAAGAAGAAACCCAAAUUCUAACGAACACCAACCGACACCGAUUGGACAGGACAGAAAAACCAACUAUUAAAACACCUGACAUCUAUAAACCUAUACUAUAAUAAAAAGCUAUACUAUAAUAUAACUCACAUCUGCACCCUAACUCUACAACACAGCCAUCAUGAACAGCAGCAACAGUAGUGGAACCGCCAACACUAAGAAAUUAUGGAAUUUUUUAAGUUAGUACAAGUGUUACAAAAAAGGAAGAAUUAAAAAAAAUACAGACAGUUCGCAAUUGCAAAAUUAAACAACAUAAAAAGAAUAAUUCUCAUAAAAGGAAAAAAAAAAUCAGAUUAUUAGUAGUUAUCGAAAAUAGAUAAAUGAAUCAAUGAAAACCAUUCAAUAUAAUGCAAUUUUUUUACUUCAAUAAUUUUAUAGUGUGAAAGGAGAAACUUGUCUAAGCUAGAAAUAUUGAAGUCAAUAAUUGAUCAUAUUGAAGUUCAUUAAUCAACUUAUCACCUUCCUUCCUUCCUUCCUUCCUUCCUCCCUCUUUCCUUUCUCCCUUCUCAUUUCUCUAUAAAAUUCCAACACAUCUGUUAUUUUCCUCACAAGGUACGGUAACCAACUGCACAUAGCUUUUUUUCUUCAGUUCUUCUUUCAGCCAAGAUGUCGAAGGUUUGUUUCUUCAAUUAUUGUUUUGGGUGUGUUGGUCACUUGAUGAUCUUGUUAAAUCAAGCUUCUUAGAUUGCUGAUCAUGUUAAAUUUUAAUUCCAUGCAGAAAAUGGUCGUGCAAGUUAGCAUUCAUGAUAUUGCGUCCCAAAAGAAGGCCGUAGCGGCUGUCUCUGGACUUCCAGGUAUAUAUAUCCAAUAGAGAUAUCUUAAUUGCCAACCCAAUCUCCCCUCAGGUUAUAAUGAUGAAUGAUUUGUGAUUUUAUGAAUCAAUUGUUGCAGGGAUUGUAUCUAUAGUCUCAGACAUUGCAUCAAGUAAGUUGACGGUAACUGGUGAUCUAAACCCAGUUGCCAUUAUCAAACAACUAAAAAAGAAUAAAUGCUCUCCACAUUUAGAAGAGCUCGGGCCGGUCAAAGAUGAGGAGGCAGAAGCGAAAAAGAAAAAGGAAGAGGAGGAAAAGAAGAAGAAAGAGGAAGAGGAAAAGAAAAGGAAAGAGGAAGAGGAAGAGGAGAAGAAGAGAAUGAUUUGGAAUCAAGCUUGUAAUCGACCAAUGAUCUUCGAAGUCAUGUGCGAAAAUCCGUCCUAUUGGUGAUCAAAAUAACCAGAGAAUAAUCGAUAUAAUUAUAUGUAUUGUUUACUUACAUAAUUAUCAUAAAUAAAAUCAUGUAAUAUCGAUCGAUUAGUUUCUUGAGAAUGAGUAUUUUUCAGGUAUUUUGUAAAGGUGAGAUAUCUAAAACAAAUUCUGUCAUUAAUUUUGAUAGUAAUUAAAUUUCUUUUAAAAAAAGAGAUAAUGUUCAAAUUACAAAAUAAAGAAUAAAAGUGAAAUAAAAGUUACAAAUUAUAUGGAUCGGAUUCAGAUAUCUGGGUAUAAGACCGAAUAAAAUCUGGAUAAAAAAAUUCGAAUCCGGAUAAUUUUUUAUUGACAACCCUCUGUAAUUUAAAAAUAUAAUAUUUUUUAAAGAAAUUUGCAAAAAAAAUCCGGAGGUCGGCGGAGGCUUAUAAUAUUAAUUUAUUAUACAUUUAUCCGAAUAUCCAUAUCCAGAAUUUUUAAACGUCGAAUUUUAACAGUGGAUUUUUUGGAUAUCCGAAUCCGUCUGAAUAAAAUUCGAAUAUUAAUUUAGGUAUCUAAAUCCGAAUCCGGAAUCCGAAUAAUCAUAUUUGAAUUUGAAUGCGGAUUCGAAUACGGAUUCCUGUAUACCAUUUACAUGCUUAAUUGACUCCAUUAAUUAUGUAGUCUAACAAUAAAGUAAUUAGAUACGCUGUUUCAAGAGUUUGAUCUCUCAUACUUUCAUCAUAAAAGUCUCAAAAAAAUGAUAACAACUUUUCACAUAACACUCCAGAUUAAAAGACUGAAGUUCUUUUUAUAUUAUACCAAUGACAAUAUAUAUUGACAAAUUGAGCUAUUGAGUUGUCUUUUUUGUCGACAACUCAAUAGCUCAAUUUGUCAAUAUAUAUUGUCAUUGGUAUAAUAUAAAAAGAACUUCAUUCUUUUAAUCUGGAGUGUUAUGUGAAAAGUUGUUAUCAUUUUUGACAAGUGACGAUUUUCUUUGCAGUAUUUUGGUGGGAUGCUUAUGGAACUUCCACCAUACAAUUACAAAAAUAUGCAAUGCGAAUCUUGGCUUUGUGUGCCUCUGCUUCAAGUUGUGAGAGAAAUUGGAGCUUAUUUGAACAUGUAAGACCCACAAUAUAUACCAAUGACAAGUUCUUUUUUGAAUACAAGUUCUUUUUAUAUUAUACCAAUGACAAUAUAUAUUAACUAAUUGAGCUAUUGAGUUGUCAUUAUUGACCAAUUCUCCUCACAAUUAUUGAGUUGUAAUUGUGAGGAGAAUUGGUCAAUAAAGACAACUCAAUAGCUCAAUUUGUCAAUAUAUAUAUGGUUAGUUUAGUUAAUAUAUAUAGUUAAUUGUCAUUAUUGACCAAUGAUAAUUAUUCUCUCCAAAUGUACCAAAUAAAUUAAAAGAUUUUAAUAUUUGCAAAAAAAAAUUAUGAAAGAAUUUUGGAGAAUCUAUCUGAUAUCAGUGACAGUAUUUUUGAUAUUAUGGAGAGUUUGUCAAGUUAAAAUUCAUUUAUUAUAAUCGAACUUUGAGACAUUUAAUGAGAUAUUCUCAAUCCUGUCGUUAAUCAUAAAUCCAAUGUUUUUUUUAAUUGAUUAAAUAUAAACAAAACAUGAUGAUACAUACUUCAAUGUUUUAUUAAAUAGACAAUUGAAGUGUAAAUAUCUUAUUUUAUCUCAAUCUCAAUAUAUCAUUAGAAUUUCACCCUAUAAUUAAGAAAUAACACAAGCAGUUGGAUCUUCCUCUAUGCUUUGAGCAUAGUAAUUUUGGGUUCGAAUAUUAGGUUGCCAAUUUUGAUAAUCCCUGCUAAUCGCUUCGUAAUAAUUCUUGAUCUUUUCUUUCUCCUCCUUCUUCUCAUCUUUCUUCUCAUCUUUCUUCUCAUCUUUCUUCUCUUUUUUCUUCUCUUCUUUCUUCUUCUCCUUAGGCCCAACAGAGUCUAAGACUGCAUGAGGCCAAUUCUUACAAGGCCAAGAAUUAUAACUAUUCAGCUUCUCGACGAUGGCAAUGGCAUCUAAUUCUCCGAUCACGGUCAGUUUCCCAGUCCCCUUAUUUGCAUCGAUGGAUUCAAUUCCUUCGAGUUCAGUUACAACUUUGAAAGCCUUCUGUUUCAUUUUCUCGUCAUAGAUACCUGCGUUUAUAACCACUUUCUACAUGACAAUUAAGUAACAAGGUGGAUCAUUAAAAUAAAUCUAGAAAACAAAAGACUAAAUAUAUUAAAAACAUUUGAAAAUGAGGAAAUUGGGGAAGAAAUAAUCAUACCAGCACCAUUCUCACAAUCGGCCGACUGGAUUAUAUCAGAGGUUAAAAAUUUUGGUUUAAAAAAAGCUAUCAAGGGUUGGUAUAUAUACUAAAGAGGGGAGAAGUUAAAAGAGAGAUCGAAAGCACGUCGAACCCGUGGAAAAGAUCGGAAGAAGAGUGUUAGCUUUGAACUCUUAGAAAAUAGUAAUGAAAGUGAAGUGAAUAUUGUUGUUUAGUUGCUACUUGUUGAAUCAGUGGACCGGGUAUUAUCAAUAUAAAUAUAUGAUUUGAUUUGAUUUGAUAUGAUUAAAAUUAAUGUAUAUUAGAAAAUGUAGGGUAUGCAUAUUGUUCAUGAUAUUUAAUCAAUAA